GGAGGGAUGGCCGAGCGGUUGAAGGCGGCGGUCUUGAAAACCGUUGAACGCAAGUUCCGUGGGUUCGAAUCCUACUCCCUCCGCCA
rnacentral:tRNA from 1 species